rnacentral:rRNA from 1 species
UUACACAUGCAGUCGAACGAUGACGACAGGGCUUGCCUUGUCUGAUUAGUGGCGAACGGGUGAGUAACACGUGAGUAACCUGCCCCCCUCUUCGGGAUAACCUCGGGAAAUCGGGGCUAAUACCGGAUAUGACUUCGCACCGCAUGGUGUGUUGUGGAAAGUUUUUCGGUGGGGGAUGGACUCGCGGCCUAUCAGUUUGUUGGUGAGGUAAUGGCUCACCAAGGCGAUGACGGGUAGCCGGCCUGAGAGGGCGACCGGCCACACUGGGACUGAGACACGGCCCAGACUCCUACGGGAGGCAGCAGUGGGGAAUAUUGCACAAUGGGCGAAAGCCUGAUGCAGCGACGCCGCGUGGGGGAUGACGGCCUUCGGGUUGUAAACCUCUUUCAGUAGGGAAGAAGCGAAAGUGACGGUACCUGCAGAAGAAGCGCCGGCUAACUACGUGCCAGCAGCCGCGGUAAU